rnacentral:rRNA from 1 species
AAACUUUCAACAACGGAUCUCUUGGCUCUCGCAUCGAUGAAGA